AGCGCAGGCGGACCGGCAAGUUGGAAGUGAAAACUAUGGGCUCAACCCAUAAAUUGCUUUCAAAACUGCUGGCCUUGAGUAGUGCAGAGGUAGGUGGAAUUCCCGGUGUAGCGGUGGAAUGCGUAGGUAUCGGGAGGAACACCAGUGGCGAAGGCGACCUACUGGGCACCAACUGACGCUGAGGCUCGAAAGCAUGGGUAGCAAACA
rnacentral:rRNA from 1 species